rnacentral:lncRNA from 1 species
CCAAAUUUGGGAAAUUAAUACUACGCAUAAAUAAAAGAAAUACAAAUACAAAGACAAACUUAAAAGAGAGAUCAACAAAGACUUAAAGUCUUAAAAAGAGUUUAAAUUUACAUAACUUACUAAAAUACAACACAAAUUACAACAUUAUCAAUUAAUGUAAUCUGGCCAUCUAGGUUGCCACUUGCCACCCACACGCUUAAAAUCAUGUUUCAACAACAGCAUUUAAAUCAAUCUUCCUUCAUCAUAAUCUCAAAAUCUCAAAGCAACAAAGUAAUCAAUACAUCAUAGCAUUUCUUUCAUAUCUUAAAACUUUCACAAUCACAACCACAAUAUCAAUCAUUGGCUUAUGAACCAUCUAAUGCACAUCUUGUACCAAAUAAAAUUCAUAAAACAUCAUAUGCAAUCCAGCUGUAAACGUAUACGUAAGUUCUUCCCCUUUGAGAAUCUUAUGCAUACCCAUACAUCUAGCAUGACAUACCUCUUAAACCAAUACAUACUUUGACAUUCAUCAUCUCAUUCUUCAUAUACAUACAAAUACAUCUAGCAUGAAAUCUCAUAAAACAUAAUACAUAUACACAUCAUUAAAACAUAACCGUGCAAUACAUACUUUGACAUUCAUCAUCUCAUUCUUCAUAUACAUACAAAUACAUCUAGCAUGCAAUCUCAUAAAAUUGACUAUUAUUCUUUCAUUUAUUACACUCAGUGUGGCUGAUGAAGUAAACAACACAUUCAUAAAGCAAUUUAAAUCAUUAUAUAACUGUGAAUGUAUGCAUAUGCUCCAAAAAUAUGUUCGAGGACUUGUCGAGUCGAGUCAGGUACUUGAGCGGCUCAACUCGGCUCGAGCUCGAGCUAGAGUAUACAAUUUCUAAAAGCCCUAAUCGAGUCCAAGCUUGGUAAAAAGGCUUUUCGAGCCUUAAAUGGGCAGCUCGGCUCAUUUAGUUGCUUUAAGUAGUUUUUUAAAAUGUGAUUAAAAAAAAAACUUAAAAACACAAACAAUAUGAAACAGAUAAACAUGAUUGACUAAAGAUAUAAAUAGGUACUUUUGAGUUUUGAGCAUUUACGAGAAAAUUCAAUUAUAAACUAAACUUGAUUUUUAGGCAUCAAUGCAAAUCUACAAAGACUGACUAGCUUAAGUCAGUAAACCACCAGCUAGCAUAACCAAUCAUACUCCUGAAUGACUUCUAAACUCGCACCGGAACCAACGCUAAUCCCUCAACCUGCAACAAAAGUAACAUCUAUGUAAUCAUAGAGAUCAUCCAUGAUUACAUAGGAGAAGAAAAGAAGAAAGGGUGAGUCAACAGUUCAUAAAGAAUGAAGACUCCCCCGAGGGUUUUCGCAAUGAGCCAAACUUUUAUUUAUGUAAUCGCUUACAAUAUCAGCCACUCAAUUCCAUAAAAACUCCAUCAUACAUUUACAUCUUUUCAUCUUUUCAGCACCGAACAAUCACAACCACAAUAUCAAUCAUAUCUCAUCAAAUAUCUCAUAAAACAUUGAAAGUAUCAAGUAGUAAUAAAGCAUGCUCAAACAACAUAUGAAUGGCUCGACUUUUUCAUAACUUUAAAGAAACUUUAAAGACAUUAAAAUUCUGCUCUUUCUCAACUUGUUUAGCAUCUUUAAAAUAUCUAAAAUCAUUGAUAAAAUUCUUUGAAAACAUAAAACGUAUUCGUCCUCAGUGAGUAAAAGAUUACUCACCUUAAGAGACCAUGAGGGAUUCACAACUAAGGCGCUCAAGCUUGCUUACUCUCGCAAAUGCUUCCACGAUCCAAUUACCUUGUACUACAUUGGAGUACUAGCUUUAGUCUCCAAUCUCAUGUAACAUACCUCUUCUUCUUCUCAAUUUUCUGCAUCUCUCUCUCUCACGGCAUCAUCUCUCUCUCUCUCUCUCGGUCUAGGACAGCAUUGGAUACAUAUACACAUAAUACAUAUACAUAUCAUUAAAACGUAACCGUGCAAUACAUACAUAACUUUGAACGAAGAAACAGGGAGAAGCUCAUUUAAUCUAUUCAGGGCUUGCCCUCCGAGAAUUGUCUCGAACUGAUGCUGAGGACUUGUCCCACUCAUUUAAUCUAUUCAUACAAUUACAUCUUUUCAUCUUUCAGCACCGAGGGCUUGCCCUCCGAGAAUUGUCUCGAAUUGAUGCUGGGGACUUGUCCCACUCAUUUAAUCUUUUCAUACAAUUACAUCUUUUCAUCUUUUCAGCACCGAGGGCUUGCCCUCCGAGAAUUGUCUUGAACUGAUGCUGGGGACUUGUCCCACUCAUUUAAUCUAUUCAUUCAUUUACAUAUAAAUCAUCAAUAGUGGGCCCAGCCCUGUCAUUUGAUAAUAGUGAGCCCAGCUCUGUCAUUUGAUAAUAGUGAGCCCAGCUCUGUUCAUGCUCAUUUCAAUGUACUUACAAAUCUCAACAAUCAUGUUUCAACAACAGCAUUUAAAUCAAUCUUCCUUCAUCAUAAUCUCAAAAUCUCAAAGCAACAAAGUAAUCAAUACAUCAUAGCAUUUCUUUCAUAUCUUAAAACUUUC